rnacentral:misc_RNA from 1 species
GAUGAAGAACGUAGCGAAAUGCGAUAAGUAAUGUGAAUUGCAGAAUUCAGUGAAUCAUCGAAUCUUUGAACGCAUCUUGCGCUCCUUGGUAUUCCAUGGAGCAUGCCUGUUUGAGUGUCACGUAAACCCUCACACCAGUGAUGUCAAAGUCUCUGGAAGUGGAUUUGGACUGUGCCGUAGUUGGCUCGUCCUGAAAUACAUUAGCCUGCGUUUUUUAGCGUGCUCGGCAUGGUGUGAUAAUUAUCUGCGCCGUCGCCUUAGGCCGCUUCUAUAUGCGCUGCUUAUAAUCAUCCCUUGUGGACAGACACUAUAAAGCUCUGGCCUCAAAUCAGGUAGGAUUACCCGCUGAACUUAAGCAUAUCAAUAAGCGGAGGA